rnacentral:rRNA from 1 species
CAGAAACUCAAAGGAAGUUCGACGGGGGCCCGCACAAGCGGUGGAGUAUGUGGUUUAAUUCGAUGCAACGCGAAGAACUUACCUGGUCUUGACAUCCCGGAGACCCUUAGGAAACUAGGGGGUGCUUCCAUCUGGAAGAAUCUGGAGACAGGUGCUGCAUGGCUGUCGUCAGCUCGUGUCGUGAGAUGUUGGGUUAAAGUCCCGCAACGAGCGCAACCCUUGCCUUUAGUUGCCAGCAGUUCGGCUGGGCACUCUAAAGGGACUGCCGGUGUUAAACCGGAGGAAGGUGGGGAUGACGUCAAGUCCUCAUGGCCUUUAUGACCAGGGCUACACACGUACUACAAUGGCCGAUACAAAGGGCAGCGACACUGCGAGGUGAAGCCAAUCCCGUAAAAUCGGUCUCAGUCCGGAUUGGAGUCUGCAACUCGACUCCAUGAAGUUGGAAUCGCUAGUAAUCGUGGAUCAGCAUGCCACGGUGAAUACGUUCCCGGGCCUU